rnacentral:rRNA from 1 species
GAUCAUGGCUCAGGACGAACGCUGGCGGCGUGCUUAACACAUGCAAGUCGAACGGGGCAGUAGAGAUAUGCCUAGUGGCGGACGGGUGAGUAACACGUGAGCAACCUAUCCUAUACAACGGGAUAACACAGAGAAAUUUGUGCUAAUACGGUAUAAGACCACAACUCCGGCAUCGGAGAGGGUAAAGCUGAGGCGGUAUAGGAGGGGCUCGCGGCCCAUUAGCUAGCUGGAGAGGUAACGG